rnacentral:rRNA from 1 species
AUUGAACGCUGGCGGCAUGCCUUACACAUGCAAGUCGAACGGCAGCACGGGAGCAAUCCUGGUGGCGAGUGGCGAACGGGUGAGUAAAGUAUCGGAACGUGCCCAGUCGUGGGGGAUAACGUAGCGAAAGUUACGCUAAUACCGCAUACGAUCUAUGGAUGAAAGCGGGGGAUCGCAAGACCUCGCGCGAUUGGAGCGGCCGAUAUCAGAUUAGGUAGUUGGUGGGGUAAAGGCUCACCAAGCCGACGAUCUGUAGCUGGUCUGAGAGAACGACCAGCCACACUGGGAAUGUGACACGGCCCAGACUCCUACGGGAGGCAGCAGUGGGGAAUUUGGGACAAUGGGCGAAAGCCUGAUCCAGCCAUGCCGCGUGCAGGAUGAAGGCCUUCGGGUUGUAAACUGCUUUUGUACGGAACGAAAAGGUUUGGCCUAAUAAGCUGAGCUCAUGACGGUACCGUAAGAAUAAGCACCGGCUAACUACGUGCCAGCCGCCGCCGUAA